rnacentral:RNase_P_RNA from 1 species
GCAGCAGGCCGCCUUAUCGCUGCCGAAGUUAAUUCGGGAGAGGAAAGUCCGGACACCAAAGGGAAGCAUAGCGGCUAACGGCCGUCGGGAUCCCCGCCUUCGCGGGGAUUUCAGGACAAGUGCAACAGAAAGGAUGUACAGGUAAUGCUGUAGUGAAAUCAGGUAAACUCUAUGCGGUGAAAUGCCACGUAAACCUGUGCUAGAGGGUACCCGCCCGAUGCAGGAGGGUAGGCAGAUUGAGCGUAUGGGUAACCAUACGUCUAGAUAAAUGAUAAGGCCCCGAUGUUAAAUGGGGGACAGAACCCGGCUUAUAGGCCUGCAUUUUUU